AUAUUGCUAUAGUAGUUUGUGACAAGCCUGAAAAAGCCAGAGUCUUAUUAGACCAUGUAGAGAAAAAAGAAACCCCAGGCUUGAAAUUCAUUAUUUUGAUGGACCCAUUUGAGAAGGACCUUAAAGAAAGAGGAGAAAAGUGUGGAAUCCAAAUCCAAGCUAUGCAGGAAGUAGAGGACUGUGGUCGAGAAUGCUGGCAUGCUCCUGUUCCACCUCGACCAGACGAUUUAUCGAUUGUAUGCUUUACUAGUGGCACUACAGGUAAUCUUUAUGUCUUCUUAAUGUUUGUCAUGACCUUCAUAAUUAAGACAUUUAAG